rnacentral:rRNA from 1 species
GAUGAACGCUGGCGGCGUGCCUAAUACAUGCAAGUCGAGCGAACGGACGAGAAGCUUGCUUCUCUGAUGUUAGCGGCGGACGGGUGAGUAACACGUGGAUAACCUACCUAUAAGACUGGGAUAACUUCGGGAAACCGGAGCUAAUACCGGAUAAUAUUUUGAACCGCAUGGUUCAAAAGUGAAAGACGGUCUUGCUGCCACUUAUAGAUGGAUCCGCGCUGCAUUAGCUAGUUGGUAAGGUAACGGCUUACCAAGGCAACGAUGCAUAGCCGACCUGAGAGGGUGAUCGGCCACACUGGAACUGAGACACGGUCCAGACUCCUACGGGAGGCAGCAGUAGGGAAUCUUCCGCAAUGGGCGAAAGCCUGACGGAGCAACGCCGCGUGAGUGAUGAAGGUCUUCGGAUCGUAAAACUCUGUUAUUAGGGAAGAACAUAUGUGUAAGUAACUGUGCACAUCUUGACGGUACCUAAUCAGAAAGCCACGGCUAACUACGUGCCAGCAGCCGCGGUAAUACGUAGGUGGCAAGCGUUAUCCGGAAUUAUUGGGCGUAAAGCGCGCGUAGGCGGUUUUUUAAGUCUGAUGUGAAAGCCCACGGCUCAACCGUGGAGGGUCAUUGGAAACUGGAAAACUUGAGUGCAGAAGAGGAAAGUGGAAUUCCAUGUGUAGCGGUGAAAUGCGCAGAGAUAUGGAGGAACACCAGUGGCGAAGGCGACUUUCUGGUCUGUAACUGACGCUGAUGUGCGAAAGCGUGGGGAUCAAACAGGAUUAGAUACCCUGGUAGUCCACGCCGUAAACGAUGAGUGCUAAGUGUUAGGGGGUUUCCGCCCCUUAGUGCUGCAGCUAACGCAUUAAGCACUCCGCCUGGGGAGUACGACCGCAAGGUUGAAACUCAAAGGAAUUGACGGGGACCCGCACAAGCGGUGGAGCAUGUGGUUUAAUUCGAAGCAACGCGAAGAACCUUACCAAAUCUUGACAUCCUUUGACAACUCUAGAGAUAGAGCUUUCCCCUUCGGGGGACAAGGUGACAGGUGGUGCAUGGUUGUCGUCAGCUCGUGUCGUGAGAUGUUGGGUUAAGUCCCGCAACGAGCGCAACCCUUAAGCUUAGUUGCCAUCAUUAAGUUGGGCACUCUAAGUUGACUGCCGGUGACAAACCGGAGGAAGGUGGGGAUGACGUCAAAUCAUCAUGCCCCUUAUGAUUUGGGCUACACACGUGCUACAAUGGACAAUACAAAGGGCAGCGAAACCGUGAGGUCAAGCAAAUCCCAUAAAGUUGUUCUCAGUUCGGAUUGUAGUCUGCAACUCGACUACAUGAAGCUGGAGUCGCUAGUAAUCGUAGAUCAGCAUGCUACGGUGAAUACGUUCCCGGGUCU